rnacentral:lncRNA from 1 species
AACAAAAAUGAAAGUCGCUAAUAAUGAUCAUAUUACUACUGAUACUGGUUCUAAUUAUAAUACUGACUAUAAUAAUGAUAAUAAUAGUACAAAAUAUUCAUUUGAUAAAAGUAGCAAACGAAUAAAAGAAAGGAAAGGGGGAGGAGGAGGUGAAGAAGGAGAAGGAGAAGGAGAAGAAGAAGAGGAAGGAAAUAAAGAAAGAAAAGAAACUUCAAGUGAUAAUUCAAAAUAUUCAUCAGUUAAAACUGAAAAAAAUAAUGAUAACUAUUAUUAUCAUGAUAUUGAAAAAAUAAAAAACAAAAAAAAAUAUUCCAGUGAAAAGGAGGACGACUAUGACAAUUAUGGAUAUAAAAAUCAAAAAAGGAACGAAAAGAAAUAUGACUACAAAUAUGAUCACAAAUAUGACCAUAAAUAUGACCAUAAAUAUGAUCACAAAUAUGACAAUAUAUCAGUAUAUUCUAAUCGUGAUGACAUUAAAGAUAGAAGUACUAAUAAAUACAGAAGAACAGAGGAAAACAAACAAUAUAGUAACAAAAAAAGAAAGUACAGUGAUGUUGGUGAUGAUGAAAAUCUUUACGCUAAGGAUAAGUACGACACGUAUGACAAAUAUGAUAAGUAUAACAAAUAUGACAAGCAUGAUAAGCAUAACAAGUAUGACAAAUAUGACAAGUAUGAAAAGUAUGGAAAACAUGAAAAAUAUGACAAGGAUAAUAAGUACGAAAAGGAUAAAUAUUUUGAUAGUAAAAAACGAAAAGUAUAUUCUAAAGAAAUAGAAAGCAAUAAACACACUAAAAAUUAUACAAAAUAUGACAAAUAUGACAAGUAUGACAAAUAUGACAAAUAUGACAAAUAUGACAAAUGUGACAAAUAUGACAAAUAUGACAAAUAUGACAAAUAUGACAAAUAUGACAAAUAUGACAAAUAUGACAAAUGUGACAAAUAUGACAAAUGUGACAAAUAUGACAAAUAUGAAAAAUAUGACAAAUAUGAAAAAUAUGACAAAUAU